GGAUUUUUGUUCUGGGAGUGAAAAAAAAAAUUUUUUUUUAAAUCUCCCUGGGAAACCUGUUUGAUAUGUUCAGCAAAUUUUACGUGAUCCUACAGGGCGAACUGUUCAGGGAUAAGAUAACACUAGCGAGAGCCGAGUACCUCCCAUGUCUAAUUUAGCUUUAAAAAAUGGUAAAACAAGUCUGACCGAGCCGAAGAAGCACGCCAGAAAUAUGUGGACACACGUUUGCUGUAGGGAUUGGUUUUCGGAUUUGAGAAUUUUAACAGGUUUGAGCAGGAUUUAAUUUCUGCACAAACUUAGAAAAGGUCGAUUGUAAAGCCUCUGUUGUGUUUAAAGGGUCUUUACAAGUCUUCGCAGCUUUUGAAGUUUCUGGGCCCUUCUGUUUUUUGUUUUGGAUAGUUUUAUGUUAGGGUUGGGGAUUGAGGGAUAAGGAAGAGAUGGAGAGGCCAGGAUAUUACUCAAAGUCCUUCGCGGUCUUCUGCCCGCGAAUGCCUUUACCCCCAACAUUUGCGUCAUCACUAACUGCUUUGUGAAUGUGUAGGAAAAAAAAUUAACCCAUUAAAAAAAAGAUUUAGAGUCCUCUCUCUCAGAAACCGUGGCAGGAUUACAUAGACGUUGUUACUUGCUUUCAAAUUUCUUGAAGAUAAUUGUUUUUCACAGUGAAACAGUAUGUACCUACUGUGCUGGAAAAGCAUCACAGAAGAUUGUAUGAUUGGGGGGCGGAAGGGAGGGCGCUAGUUCCUUUUUUUGGCUGAAGUGUGAGUAUCUCAUCAGUUUCUGUGUGUACCGGUUGUGUAACAAACUACAGUAUACAGUAUAUUUGCUCCAGAUGUGAAAGUCUUCCAGCAGUGUGAGACUGGGUGUCUUUUAAGACUGACUAGGAAGCAAAGUUUUACCAGGAACUCUUAUUUGCUUUUUCCUUUACUAUCAAGUUAUUCCUGGGAGGCCCCCUGGUGCCUGCAGUCAGUGUUCGCUGUUUAAGACUGUGGAUUUUAACAGAUGUGAACAUUUUGCUGGGUGUGAGACAUUUGCUUUGGGGGGAAAUUUUUUUUUUUUUAAUUAUUUGUUGAUUGUUCUGAGAGGGAAAUGUAGCUGUUUAAAAAUUUUAAUAUCUUGUUAACUUUGGGAGAAGUUUAUGCUCACCAUGAACUUGGCUUGUAAAUUUAAAUAUUUAAAAAUCUGAUGCUUGUAUCCAACUUCUUCAGUUUUAUUUUUCAUAUACUUCUUUAUAUACUUUAUAGGCAUAAGACAAGAUAGACUUAUGUAUUUUUGAAUGUUUGAUGUGGGUCGUCUUAAGUCAUGGUUUUAUGAUUAUACAUAAGAAACUUCACUCAUGGAUUGUUCGAGGUUACUAGGAAAAAGAUAUGGUGGGGAAAAUAGGCUAAGUGUUUGUUUCUGUGAAUUUGAAUUAUAUCAAUGUUCGGUUCUGGUUUUUGAUGAUCGUUUUCCAGACAUUUUCCCCUUUUAAAUUAGCAAGCAUUUAUUGACCUGCUUUGUGCCAGUCACCAGGAAUGCAAAGACAAGACACUGUCUCUUCAUUCAGGAAAUUCCCAGUUUAAACAAGUGAUUUUCAAGCUUUUGCAGCCUGCUCUCUGUCAGUAAAGGGUACCAUUACUUGCUUCUUAAUCCUGGAAAGUAUAUUUAGUUUUGACAGUGGCUCCCUGGGAUUCUUAAAUUCUCCUUUCUCCUUUGCAAAAUCUAGACCUGUCCAAAGACAUCCAAAACAGACUUGGAUUUUCUAGAAAGAAAUUCUUAUAUGAAACAGUGAAGAAUUAAAACUGAAGUCCUCCCCAUAAUCCCAUGAUCCAGAGAUAACUUGUUGAAAUUUCGAUGCAUUUUUCUUUCAGAUACUUUACAUCUUUAGAAUAUUGUUUAUAUAGCUUUAUGAGUUAAUUUUUAAAAUUUUUUCUUGCAGUUUUUUUUUUUUUACUUUCCUACAAAGCUAAACUUAAUAUUAUUACAAGAUAAAUUGUAGAAUAUUAGUAUCAUAUUAGUAGACUAUUAGCAAAAACUUAACAUGACAGAAUAUGAUUGUGUUUAUAUUUUUGGCCCACUGUUUAUGAAAAUCUUGGGAUGUGUGUAUUCUUGUUUUGUUUUUAAAUCCGUUUUUCACUUAAUCACAACUUACCAGAUGUCUAAAUUUGUGGAACUGCUGUGAUCAUUUUUAGUUAAGCUGGAAGACUAAGCAAAUAGGAAGUUUACCUCUUUUGUGUCCUUUUGAAAGUUAAGCAAAGGACUGGAUUUGAAAAAUGAAGAUUAAUGAAACCAUAUUAAAGCCCCCCCACCCCCCCCUUUUUAAGCUUUAUUGUUGUUUUUUUGGCUGCACCAUGCAGCUUGUGGAAUAUUAGUUCCCCAGCCAGGAAUUGAAUCCUAGUACCCUGCAUUGAAAGCACUGUGCCUCCAGUCACUGGAUCGCCAGGGAAUUCCCAAGUCUCUCCUUUCUCCGUUUUAGAUAAUAUUUUUAUUGAGAUACAACUCACAUACCAUGCAAUUUCACCUUUUGAAUUGUAUAAUUCAGUGGUUGUAUAUUCACAGAGUUGUGCAACCCAUCAGUCACCACCAUCACCGUUAGAAAGUUCUUCCCACCAUUCCCAAACACACACCUGUUCCCGUUAGCUGACAAGUCCCUUUUCCCUUCACUCCUCUCCAACACUAGGUUACCCCUAAUCUACUUUCUGUGGGUUUUGCCUGUUGUAGACAUUUCAUGUGAAUGAAAUAAUGCAUUAUGUGGUCUCUUGUGAUUGGCUUCUUUUUAAUGUUUUGCAGGUGCAUGUAUAUUUAAGCAUGUGUCAGUAUUUCGUUCCUUUUAUGGCUAAACAAUAUUUCAUUGUAUGACUGUACCACAUUUUAAUUUGUCCGUUUGUCACUUGAUGGACAUUUGAGUUGUUUCCUGCUUUGGGCUGUUGUGAAAAAUAUUGUUAUGGAUGUUUAUGUACAAGUGUUUGUGUGGGCAUAUGUUUUCAUUUCCCUUGGGUAAUAUAACUGGAAGUGGAAUUCCUUUGUCAGUGGGUAACUCUGUUUAACCUUUUGAGGAACUGCCAAACUGUUUAAAGCUUCUUUUCUGAUUCAGUUGUUUAAUUAUGACCCAGCAGUCUAAAGGUUAGGCAGUUUGAAGGAAGUGCUAGUUGAUCUUGGCAACCUCAGCUUCUACAGGGCAAGUGUUUGUGUCCAAACCCAAGGCCAGGUCUCUUGAAAAAAGCAGGUUGAGGAAUAGGGGAGAUAGGCUGAAGGUUGCUUUCUCUCCUCUUGCUUCUUUUUAGAUGAAAAGCUGGAGAAGGCCUAAAGAUGGCUCAUUGUUCAGAGAUUGAGCGAUUAAGUGGUUUUCCUGUUAGUUCCAGAUGAGGGAAAUUUUGACGGUUUGAAGUAGUAGUCCAGGGUGUUAUUAUUUUAUUUGAAAACAGGGCUUUUCUGAUAAAUGUCCAAAUCCAAGAUUAGGAUUUAUUGGGAUUUAGAAAUCUGUUUACAUUUGAGUCUAGAGACAGGAUUAUAUUAAGAUUUAGGAUUAGUGAGGAAGAUAGUAAAUUUUAUCAAGUAUUUUUUUUCCUCUGUUGUCUUAUUAUCCACAUUUAUUGUUUUAAUAGAAUAUCCGUUCCAAUAUCCUAUGUUCUCAAGCAACUCUAACAGGUAAAAUAAUGCAGCUGUUAAGAAUGUCAAAAUAUUUAGAAAUAAUGAAAAUCUCAGUUUCUGAAACAAAGGUUAUCUUAGAAGUCUUGGGCUCUAGGGAUGCAAGAAGAAAUGGUUUGCAAAUGUCAGUAGGCUUAGCAUGGUGUGGUGGUGGAGGAUAUGGAUUCACAGUUGAGUCUUCUAGGAUUAAAUUUUGAGUCAGUACAAAUUUAUACCCUUGGGCAGCAGUCACUGCUCUGGUGGCUAGAAGUAGUCAUUUCAAGGCUUACUGUUUCUGGGAAAAUAGAGGAUCAGUGAAGACAGGAAGCAGAACGAGAUGGAGGUUACAACUCUCCUUUCUUUUUGUAAACUCUCACCUUCCCCCAAGAUUGAAUAUGGUUACCUUUGAAGUCUUAGUUAUUAGUAGGUGAAAUGCAAUUUUUUUUUUUUUUUUUUUUACACCUCAUCCUCUAUACACUGCACCUCAGAUUUUCCUCUGUGAAAUAAAAUGAAAAUGUUUUAAUAGAAAUUAAGUCCUUAUUCCACAAUUAGAGGUAGGGGGCUAAAAAUGGCAGAAAUUCAUUCUGAAGUUAAGCAUGUGUAAAUAGCCAGUAGGCGUUAGCUUGAUAGAGGAAUUCAGUACCUGGUCUAGGUGGGUACUUGCCAUACAUAGGGAACGUAGAUAUAGGACAGGGACAAUUGUCCUUUAAUCUGCCUGUCCACCUGUAUGUAGCAAAGUGAUUUAUGAGGACAUACAUAACCUUCCUAAUAAUCACUGACCUCAGGGCCCUCCCUUCCCAAAUUUACCUGCUUCUGUGUAAAGACUAGGUUUAUUUUAUCAUAAAAGAGUUUAAGCCUUGGACUGUUCUCAGACCAUGCCUGAGUUCCCAUCUAGUCAGUUACCAAACUAUUGGUAGAAACAUUUUCUUGAUUUGAGUGCUUGCCUAACACCAUUUUAACUUUUCCCUUAAAUAUUUUCCCUUAAUAUUUUCAACAUUUAAAGAAAUCAAGUUACUUUUCCCCAUAAAAGAAAUUUAAGGACUGCUAUUAAUAUAGCUUUCUCUAAUGUUGUACUUAGCAGUUAUGGCUCUUUUAUUUUAAGUGGAAAACUGAGAAGGAAACUUUAUAGGUACUUUUAGGUUUUUCUGUGAUAUUUGAAUAUUUAUCAAAUAAUUGAGCCAAAGUAGUGAAAGAAAAUGACUAGGCUUCUGAGUGGAAGUGAAGGAUCUAAGUUAUAUAAUGACAGAAAGGAAUAUAUUUUAUGAACAUCAGACCUUAGCUGCAAUUGUUAUGUGAAUCCUAAAUAAUAAAAUCAGGUGUACAUUUGUUUACUCAAGGUAUAUCUAAGUAUUGAUACAUACUGAUACUUGUUAAAGAUACAGGUUCUGCAUGUGUUACAAUUUCACCUUAUCCCCAGUUUCUUCUGUAUUUUGAGGAUGAUAAUAGGUACCUGCUUCAUAAUGUAUCUGUAAAACUUAAACUGGUAAAACACUUUGAACAUAAUAAAAGCUCCGAAAAUGUUA